rnacentral:misc_RNA from 1 species
GAUGAAGAACGUAGCGAAAUGCAAUAAGUAAUGUGAAUUGCAGAAUUCAGUGAAUCAUCGAAUCUUUGAACGCGCAUUGCGCCCGCCAGCAUUCUGGCGGGCAUGCCUGUUCGAGCGUCAUUUCAACCCUCGAGCCCCCCCGGGGGCCUCGGUGUUGGGGGACGGCACACCAGCCGCCCCCGAAAUGCAGUGGCGACCUCGCCGCAGCCUCCCCUGCGUAGUAGCACACACCUCGCACCGGAGCGCGGAGACGGUCACGCCGUAAAACGCCCAACUUCUUAGAGUUGACCUCGGAUCAGGUAGGAAUACCCGCUGAACUUAAGCAUAUCAAUAAGCGGAGGA